rnacentral:rRNA from 1 species
UACAGAGGUCCCGAGCGUUGUUCGGAUUCACUGGGCGUAAAGGGUGCGUAGGUGGUGAGGUAAGUCGGAUGUGAAAUCUCCAAGCUCAACUUGGAAACUGCAUUGGAAACUACCUUGCUAGAGGAUUUGAGGGGGGAUUGGAAUACUUGGUGUAGCAGUGAAAUGCGCAGAUAUCAGGAGGAACACCGGUGGCGAAGGCGGGUCUCUGGGCCGAAAUUGACGCUGAGGAGCGAAAGCGUGGGGAGCAAACAGG